GUCUGUGGCCAUAUCACCCUAAAUGCUCUGAUGUUGUCUGAUGUCCUUAAAGCUAAGCAGGCUCAGGCCUGGUUGAUCCUUGGAUGGGAGACCACCUGGGAAUAUGGGGUGCUGUAGGCU
ensembl:rRNA 5S_rRNA 5S ribosomal RNA